GCUAAACCCUAAACAUUGACAGGCCACUAUACAACGCCUUCCGCCAGAGAACUACAAGUGAAAAACUUGAAACUCAAAGGACUUGACGGUGUCCCAUAUCGACCUAGAGGAGCCUGUCCUAUAAUCGAUACCCCCCGAUCCACCCAACCUUAACUUGUCAUUUCAGCCUAUAUACCGCCGUCAACAGUUUACCCUAUGAGGGUAAAAUAGUAAACACAAUAGCUUAACCGCUAAAACGUCAGGUCAAGGUGUAGCAAAUGUUAAGGGAGAGAUUGGCUACAUUUUUAUUUUUUAAAAACACGAAAUGCAUAAUGAAACCCUGCAUGAAGGUGAAUUUAGUAGUAAAAUAAAUAAGAGAAUUUGUUUUAACCACGCUCUGGGACGCGUACACACCGCCCGUCACCCUCCUCAACUUCCCACUUUACAUAAUAUAAUAAAAACGCUUACUUAUUAGAGGAGAC
rnacentral:rRNA from 1 species